rnacentral:rRNA from 1 species
UAAGGAAUCUUCCACAAUGGACGAAAGUCUGAUGGAGCAACACCGCGUGCAGGAUGAAGGUCUUCGGAUCGUAAACUGCUUUUAUAUGGGAAGAUUGUGACGGUACCAUAUGAAUAAGGACCGGCUAACUACGUGCCAGCAGCCGCGGUAAUACGUAGGGUCCAAGCGUUAUCCGGAAUCACUGGGCGUAAAGCGUGCGUAGGCGGCGUGUUAAGUGUGAUGUUAAAUCGUGUGGCUCAACCCUAUCGA